rnacentral:rRNA from 1 species
AUUGAACGCUGGAGGUAUGCUUAACACAUGCAAGUCGAACGCGAACGUUUCUUCGGAAACAAGUAGAGUGGCGGACGGGUGAGUAACGCGUAGGAAUCUACCUAUUAGUGGGGGAUAACAUGGAGAAAUUCAUGCUAAUACCGCAUAUGCCCUACGGGGUAAAGAGGGCCUCUUCUUGAAAGCUCUUGCUAGUAGAUGAGCCUGCGUCGGAUUAGCUUGUUGGUGGGGUAAUGGCCUACCAAGGCGACGAUCCGUAGCUGGUCUGAGAGGAUGAUCAGCCACACUGGGACUGAGACACGGCCCAGACUCCUACGGGAGGCAGCAGUGGGGAAUAUUGGACAAUGGGCGCAAGCCUGAUCCAGCAAUACCUCGUGUGUGAAGAAGGCCUUAGGGUUGUAAAGCACUUUCAAUUGGGACGAAGAGUGGUAACUUAAUACGUUGCUACUUUGACGGUACCUUUAGAAGAAGCACCGGCUAACUCCG